rnacentral:rRNA from 1 species
CAGGUUUACCUGUGUGACUGCGUACCUUUUGUAUAAUGGGUCAGCGACUUAUAUUCUGUAGCAAGGUUAACCGAAUAGGGGAGCCGGAGGGAAACCGAGUCUUAAUUGGGCGUUAAGUUGCAGGGUAUAGACCCGAAACCCGGUGAUCUAGCCAUGGGCAGGUUGAAGGUUGGGUAACACUAACUGGAGGACCGAACCGACUAAUGUUGAAAAAUUAGCGGAUGACCUGUGGCUGGGGGUGAAAGGCCAAUCAAACCGGGAGAUAGCUGGUUCUCCCCGAAAGCUAUUUAGGUAGCGCCUCGUGAAUUCAUCUCCGGGGGUAGAGCACUGUUUCGGCUAGGGGGCCAUCCCGGCUUACCAACCCGAUGCAAACUGCGAAUACCGGAGAAUGUUAUCACGGGAGACACACGGCGGGUGCUAACGUCCGUCGUGAAGAGGGAAACAACCCAGACCGCCAGCUAAGGUCCCAAAGUCAUGGUUAAGUGGGAAACGAUGUGGGAAGGCCCAGACAGCCAGGAUGUUGGCUUAGAAGCAGCCAUCAUUUAAAGAAAGCGUAAUAGCUCACUGGUCGAGUCGGCCUGCGCGGAAGAUGUAACGGGGCUAAACCAUGCACCGAAGCUGCGGCAGCGAACGUAUCACUUAAAGCGAUUCAGCGGGUUACGAUUGACGGAGCGAAGCGACGUCAAAGCGUAUACAAAGUCGAGUCGGUUUAAGGAUACGUUCGUUGGGUAGGGGAGCGUUCUGUAAGCCUGCGAAGGUGGCCUGUGAGGGUUGCUGGAGGUAUCAGAAGUGCGAAUGCUGACAUAAGUAACGAUAAAGCGGGUGAAAAGCCCGCUCGCCGGAAGACCAAGGGUUCCUGUCCAACGUUAAUCGGGGCAGGGUGAGUCGACCCCUAAGGCGAGGCCGAAAGGCGUAGUCGAUGGGAAACGGGUUAAUAUUCCCGUACUUGGUGUUACUGCGAAGGGGGGACGGAGAAGGCUAUGUUGGCCGGGCGACGGUUGUCCCGGUUUAAGCGUGUAGGUGUGUGUUCCAGGUAAAUCCGGUUCACUUUAACACUGAGGCGUGAUGACGAGGCACUACGGUGCUGAAGCAACAAAUGCCCUGCUUCCAGGAAAAGCCUCUAAGCAUCAGGUAACAUCAAAUCGUACCCCAAACCGACACAGGUGGUCAGGUAGAGAAUACCAAGGCGCUUGAGAGAACUCGGGUGAAGGAACUAGGCAAAAUGGUGCCGUAACUUCGGGAGAAGGCACGCUGACACGUAGGUGAAGUGAUUUACUCAUGGAGCUGAAGUCAGUCGAAGAUACCAGCUGGCUGCAACUGUUUAUUAAAAACACAGCACUGUGCAAACACGAAAGUGGACGUAUACGGUGUGACGCCUGCCCGGUGCCGGAAGGUUAAUUGAUGGGGUCAGCGCAAGCGAAGCUCCUGAUCGAAGCCCCGGUAAACGGCGGCCGUAACUAUAACGGUCCUAAGGUAGCGAAAUUCCUUGUCGGGUAAGUUCCGACCUGCACGAAUGGCGUAAUGAUGGCCAGGCUGUCUCCACCCGAGACUCAGUGAAAUUGAACUCGCUGUGAAGAUGCAGUGUACCCGCGGCAAGACGGAAAGACCCCGUGAACCUUUACUAUAGCUUGACACUGAACAUUGAGCCUUGAUGUGUAG